GAGAAACAGCAUUUAAAGAUUGGUCUCGGGACUGGUUUUGAUUAGAAAAAAGGGUAUAAUGUUUUGUUGUUGGUUUUUUUAAAAAGGGCCCAGCGUUCUCUUGGUGUCUUUUUCCACACAAACCCUUUGAGGAGCUCAAGCUGUUUGCUGCCGAUGUGUGAUAGGAGCUCCCCGAGGCGUCGCAUCCCCAAAGAGACGUGUCAGGAUUCGGCUGAUGUCAAAACGAAUAAAAAUAUCAAACUUCUCAGGGUUCUGUAUUUUUCCAAGUGCCUUUACAAAACUUGGAUUCAAAAGGCAGGCCUCGGUUGUAGACCGCGUAGACGUUUUGAGGGUUGCCUCAAAGGGACAGACUGAGGAACCCAUUAGGAACACCGCCUCAAUGACAGAGAAGCCACAAGCAAUAUUUCCAUGCUGGAGGAAACGGCCUAAAGAAAACGUACCUGGAGAAAAGUCCUGAGCUGAAAUCUCUGAAAUAUGCGCUUAGCCUUUACACCCAACCCACAGAUGCCUUGAUCAAAAAAUAUAUAUGCACCCAGAUGUCUCAAGGUAAGAAGUAAUUCUGUUGUUGGGAUAAAUCUUAGUGAUGAUGGAGGGUGUGUGUGUGUUGGGAGGGGGGUGUUUUUUACUGUGAAUAACCCAGAUGUGAGUUAUAAACAAGCAGGGGAAAGGAUAAGUGGCUUUAUUCUCAUAAUAUUGUUUGUAUUGAUCAUCACUGAGAUGGAGAUGAGAUCUAUUGGGUAUAGUAGUGCAAUAAAUGGUGCAAAUGCAUUGCUGUAAAAUCUAAAGAGAUGGGUGGGUUUAAUGGGACAGAACAUUGCUAAAUCGUGAACACAACAGGCGCUCCCUGUGGUUUCAAUUCUAAUUGUAGUGCAGCUGAAUAAUGAUGUUCAAUAUCGUAUUCCGGCUCUCAAGGCGGUGCUUCGAAAGAGAUACUGUUUACAAGAGGAUGUAUAGUGUGUAGUUCUGGAAACUUGCUCAGAUAUUGCAAAUAAGUCAUUUCAUGUGGAGUGAAUACAUGGCAUGGCAUGGCGUGAGACAUUGCAAGACACUGUGGGACAGUCUGAGACAUUGCGAGACACUGUGGGACAGUCUGAGACAUUGUGGCACAAUGUGAGACAUUGUGAGAGAGUCUGAGACGUUGUGAGACACUGUGGGACAGUCUGAGACAUUGCGAGACACUCUGGGACAGUCUGAGACAUUGUGGCACAAUGUGAGACAUUGUGAGAGAGUGUGAGACAUUGUGAGACACUGUGGGAUAGUCUGAGACAUUGUGAGACACUGUGGGACAGUCUGAAACAUUGCGAGACACUGUGGGACAGUCUGAGGCAUUGUGAGAUACUCUGGGACAGUCUGAGACAUUGUGAGAGAGUGUGAGACAUUGUGAGACACUGUGGGACAGUCUGAGACAUUGUGAGACACUCUGGGACAGUCUGAGACAUUGUGAGACACUGUGGGACAGUCUGAGACAUUGUGAGACACUCUAGGACAGUCUGAGACAUUGUGAGAGAGUGUGAGACAUUGUGAGACACUGUGGGAUAGUCUGAGACAUUGUGAGACACUGUGGGACAGUCUGAAACAUUGCGAGACACUGUGGGACAGUCUGAGGCAUUGUGAGACACUGUGGGACAGUCUGAGACAUUCUGGGACAGUCUGAGACAUUAUGAGACACUCUGAGACAUUGUGAGACACUGUGGGACAGUCUGAGACAUUCUGGGACAGUCUGAGACAUUAUGAGACACUCUGAGACAUUGUGAGACACUGUGGGACAGUCUGAGACAUUGUGGGACAGUCUGAGACAUUGUGAGACACUCUGAGACAUUGUGAGACUCUGUGGGACAGUCUGAGACAUUGUGGGACAGUCUGAGACACUAUAAGACACUCUGAGACAUUGUGAGACACUGUGGGGCAGUCUGAGACAUUGUGGGACAGUCUGAGACACUCUGAGACAUUGUGAGACACUGUGGGGCAGUCUGAGACAUUGUGGGACAGUCUGAGACACUAUGAGACACUCUGAGACAUUGUGAGACACUGUGGGGCAGUCUGAGACAUUGUGGGACAGUCUGAGACACUAUGAGACACUCUGAGACAUUGUGAGACACUGUGGGACAGUCUGAGACAUUGUGAGACACUCUGAGACAUUGUGAGACUCUGUGGGACAGUCUGAGACAUUGUGGGACAGUCUGAGACACUAUGAGACACUCUGAG
ensembl:lncRNA